GCAACGUGAAUGUCAGUGAAGCAGGAAAGAGCUCUAGUCCUGCUGCAGCAUGGUGUGACUGCCACCCCGGUUUCUGUGCUCAGCCUGAGCCGGGCUGCCUCCUGCCCACUGGGUACCAGGGAUGUGCUCCUGCACCAGUGAUCAGCAACUGCUCUCCUGGCUGCUCCUUGUGGGAAAGCAAACAAACAAGCUUCUGUCUGAUGUCUGUCUGUUUCCUCUGGAGUCCUGCCGAGACAAAGUGGGUUGUGAGGAUCCUCAUUGCAGCAGGGAGGAACUCCACAAGCAAGGUGCCUGUCCCUACCUGCUGAACAAGAAGCUGUGACUGAUUGCUUUUAGCCUCUCUUAAGCUUGUCUUCACAAACAUGAUGACACAUUCUUGCUUGAAGCCAGGCCCCCAAGAUUCAGCAGGAGCUGAGGCUGGAAUGUAAGUCCAAGUUAAUGAAGCAGCCUCAAAGUUGAGGAGGAAGAGAAUAAACUGCAGCUCUGAGGCACAGACCAUUGGAGAUUCCUCUUUCAAACCCUGCCUUUGCCACUCACUUGAGUUAUUUGAUUUGGGAACAAGAUAAGAAUUCACAAUAUCUGAUUUGUAGAAAUAACCCAGAGGAAGGAAAAUCAGUCAGAAAUACUAAUUUCAGGUAUAAAUUUUGUCUCUCAGUUUUCUAAAAAUCUUUCUCGUGUCUAAUAGCAUUAAACAAAUACAAAGUACAGAUUUUGGGGAAGUUGUGCACUGACUGACAAAUGCAUCUCCAAAUAGCCCACAGUUCAGCACUUCUUUUUCUGUCAAUACUCCGUGACCAGGAAAGGUUUGGAGCAUAAUUCUCUCCCAGUAAUCUAUCUUCUCCCUUUCUCUCUCUCCCUGUUUUUUUUUUUUCCUAGUAAGAAAUAGACCUGGAAAUUCAUUGCUGAUUUCCCAGGAGUGUUAUUCAUGCCAGUUUAUUUAUGUAUUUAUUAUUCAAGUGCAAACUAUUGCAGUUCCUUGUGGUAAACUGCAAAUCAAGCUGAUAGAGACAGAGGGCUGGCUGUCACACCAAGUGCUGAUGCUGUGGCUGCUACUGCCCCUAAGUGAUGAGGUGUGAGGACAAUUCAGCCUCCUUGGUGCUCAGGUCUGCCCAGGCCUUGGCUACAGAUGGAAAAGAACAGUGUGCCUUCACCAGGAUUUAAUUGUCUUCAGCAGGACAUUUAAUACAAUUAUGUUUUAACAUGUGAGCAUAGUAGUUUAUUGUGUUUAAGUGCUGGAACUGCAGCUAGGAGAAAUCUAUACUAAGGCUGAUAAGAAAGGGACAACUUUGACUUGGAAUGUGGUCAAUUGCAAAAAUAAAAGAUCUCUCUAAUGUAGCACUUGUUUCUUGGCUUCUUUGUUCUUAUUCCUGAUUUUUCAUGACCAUUUCUCA